CCUACGGGCGGCAGCAGUCGAGAAUCAUUCACAAUGGGGGAAACCCUGAUGGUGCGACGCCGCGUGGGGGAAUGAAGGUCUUCGGAUUGUAAACCCCUGUCAUGUGGGAGCAAAUGAAAAAGAUAGUACCCCAAGAGGAAGAGACGGCUAACCCUGUUCCAGCAGCCGCGGUAAUUCAGAGGUCUCAAGCGGUGUUCGGAAUCACUGGGCGUAAAGCGUGCGUAGGCUGUUUCGUAAGGCGUGUGUGAAAGGUGCGGGCUCAACCCGCGGACGGCACAUGAUACUGCGAGACUAGAGUAAGGGAGAGGGAACCGGAAUUCUCGGUGUAGCAGUGAAAUGCGUAGAUAUCGAGAGGAACACUCGUGGCGAAGGCGGGUUCCUGGACAUUAACUGACGCUGAGGCACGAAGGCCAGGGGAGCGAAAGGGAUUAGAUACCCGGGUAGUC
rnacentral:rRNA from 1 species